rnacentral:rRNA from 1 species
UACGUAGGGCGCAAGCGUUGUCCGGAAUUAUUGGGCGUAAAGAGCUCGUAGGCGGUCUGUCGCGUCUGGUGUGAAAUCCCAUGGCUCAACUGUGGGCUUGCAUCGGGUACGGGCAGACUAGAGUGCGGUAGGGGAGAUUGGAAUUCCUGGUGUAGCGGUGGAAUGCGCAGAUAUCAGGAGGAACACCAAUGGCGAAGGCAGAUCUCUGGGCCGUAACUGACGCUGAGGAGCGAAAGCAUGGGGAGCGAACAGG